GUUUGAAAUUGUGUGAAAACAUACACUGAGGUAACUUCAACGGUAACUUCAACAGUUUAAUAAAUGAGACUCUGUAUUAAACAACUUACAUCUCAUGCUUUAUAAAGCUUCCAAAAGUGUUUAAAGUAUACUCCAUUUUGAAUUUUGUUUUUUAAUAAAUCUCAGACCUCGCGCAAUCUGGUGUAUUGGGUCGUUCCAGAAAACAUCCAUACCACCCCCACGGAGGAAAUUGGAAGUUAACCCCCUACCACCUUUGGAUGUCCUAAUGCAUUUACUAUUAUCAGAAACAAUUUUUUCUCCCCUCCCCCUCCGGACGUCAGAAAUUUCCUCUGUGGGGGAAGUGUGGAUCUUUUCUGGAACGACCCAUUAAAUGGUCAAAUGCCCCAGUCUUGUGACUCAGCGUAAAAUGCCCUACCCUAACAGCACUUCAAAAGGUCAAAUUCCCCACUCAAGUUGUCAAAUGCCCGGGAGGGUGUUAACAGUAUAAAUUGGUCGGCGCAUUAAAUGGUGCCUGUCACUGGGCAUUCCAUUCUGUAUGAUUGUGGAUAGAUAGAAAAAUUUUAUUUACCCAUGCUAACCCUGUCAACUGAAGCUGAUUUCCUCAGGGGGUGUGUAGUGCUUCCUGUACAUGAAGAGACACAAUGUAUAAUAUUUGUCUGCUGCCACUUUAUUAGAUUUACUUGGUGGUCACCUUCAAUCAUAUCUUUGUUUGCACCUAGCUCGUGGUCUGCAAACACAGAUUUGUUGCCAUCCAGGAGAAAAUUAUGACAAACUUCCAGAAUCAUUUUGCUUUUUAGGUUCUUCAUGUUGUUGAUGCUGUUGCCUUUCUGGCAAACAUACAGCUUGAAGAUAUGUUCACAGUGUUCAAUUGUAGUGUAAACAGACUUUGAUUUGUAGUGUACUUGUUAUGGUUAAAUUAACCCAUUAAGCGCCAGCGCUAUCCCCUUGACAAGUGAAAUUGUCUGGCGUUAGAAAGAGUCUGACAUUAGAAAGAGUCUGACGUUAGACAGAGUAAAAUAAUAAAAUAGGGUGCAAUGCAUCUCAAUGGGUUAACUAGACACAUGGGCAGAUAGGCUAGUUAACCCAUUAAGCGCCAGCGCUAUCCCCUUGAUGAGUAAACUUAUCUGGCGUUAGACAGAGUGAAAUAAUAAAGUAAUGUGCAUCAGGGCGCAAUGCGACUCAAUGGGUUAAUUUCACAAUUUGUUUCUCUGUGACCUUUACAAGAGCCUUGUAAGGAACAAUUGCCACUUGUGAUAUACAGUAGAACUGUUGUUAAUGGGCAUUCAGGCCAAUUGUGGAAGUGGUCAUUGAGUACUUACAGUUUGUGUAGUUUGACUGUACAUAGUUUUACUGUAAAUAUAUAUGUGUAUUGUAUGCCUGGUAUGGUCAAAUGUUGUCGGUAUGUAAUUUAUUUAAAAAAUACUAUAUAUUUAUCCAUGUCAGGUGAUGUGUAAUACAAUUAUUGCAGUAAGGC